rnacentral:rRNA from 1 species
UACGGGGGGGCAAGCGUUGUUCGGAAUUACUGGGCGUAAAGGGCUUGUAGGUGGCCAACUAAGUCAGACGUGAAAUCCCUCGGCUUAACCGGGAACUGCGUCUGAUACUGGAUGGCUUGAGUGUGGGAGAGGAUGCGGAAUUCCAGGUGUAGCGGUGAAAUGCGUAGAUAUCUGGAGGAACACCGGUGGCGAAGGCGGGUCUCUGGGCCGAUACUGACGCUGAGGAGCGAAAGCGUGGGGAGCGAACAGG